CGAACGCUGGCGGCGUGCCUAAGACAUGCAAGUCGUACGGUAAGGCACCUUCGGGUGUACACGAGUGGCGUACGGGUGAGUAACGCGUGGGUAAUCUGCCCUCAGGUCGGGGACAACUUCGGGAAACUGGAGCUAAUACCGGAUGAGCCCACGAGGCCUUCGGGCCUCGCGGGAAAAGGUGGCCUCUCCUUGGAAGCUACCGCCAGGGGAUGAGCCCGCGUCCCAUUAGCUUGUUGGUGAGGUAACGGCUCACCAAGGCAACGAUGGGUAGCUGGUCUGAGAGGAUGAUCAGCCACACUGGAACUGAGACACGGUCCAGACUCCUACGGGAGGCAGCAGUCGGGGAUUUUGGGCAAUGGGCGCAAGCCUGACCCAGCAACGCCGCGUGAGGGAUGAAGGCCUUCGGGUCGUAAACCUCUGUCGGGAGGGAAGAACGUUCUCCGGGUAAAUAAUCCGGGGAGCUGACGGUACCUCCAAAGGAAGCACCGGCUAACUCC
rnacentral:rRNA from 1 species